rnacentral:rRNA from 1 species
AACGAACGCUGGCGGCAUGCCUAACACAUGCAAGUCGAACGAGAUCUUCGGGUCUAGUGGCGCACGGGUGCGUAACGCGUGGGAAUCUGCCCUUUGGUUCGGAAUAACAGUUGGAAACGACUGCUAAUUCCGGAUGAUGACGAAAGUCCAAAGAUUUAUCGCCAGAGGAUGAGCCCGCGUAGGAUUAGCUAGUUGGUGUGGUAAAGGCGCACCAAGGCGACGAUCCUUAGCUGGUCUGAGAGGAUGAUCAGCCACACUGGGACUGAGACACGGCCCAGACUCCUACGGGAGGCAGCAGUGGGGAAUAUUGGACAACGGGCGAAAGCCUGAUCCAGCAAUGCCGCGUGAGUGAUGAAGGCCUUAGGGUUGUAAAGCUCUUUUACCCGGGAUGAUAAUGACAGUACCGGGAGAAUAAGCCCCGGCUAACUCCGUGCCAGCAGCCGCCGUAA